rnacentral:rRNA from 1 species
GACGAACGCUGGCGGCGUGCUUAACACAUGCAAGUCGAACGGUGAAGGGACCAGCCUGCUGGUUCUGGAUGAGUGGCGAACGGGUGAGUAACACGUGAGUAACCUGCCCCCUUCUUCUGGAUAACCGCAUGAAAGUGUGGCUAAUACGGGAUAUUCUGGGUCUGUCGCAUGGCGGGCCCGGGAAAGAUAUUGCUUCGGUGGGGGAUGGGCUCGCGGCCUAUCAGCUUGAUGGUGGGGUGAUGGCCUACCAAGGCGGUGACGGGUAGCCGGCCUGAGAGGGUGGACGGUCACACUGGGACUGAGACACGGCCCAGACUCCUACGGGAGGCAGCAGUGGGGAAUAUUGCACAAUGGGCGCAAGCCUGAUGCAGCGACGCCGCGUGAGGGAUGGAGGUCUUCGGGUUGUAAACCUCUUUCGCCAGUGAAGCAGGCCUGCUCCUUGUGGGUGGGUUGACGGUAGCUGGAUAAGAAGCGCCGGCUAACUACGUG